rnacentral:misc_RNA from 1 species
GAGGAUGAUGAGAGUGUACCAACCAAAGAGGACUGUAUCAUCCAAUUCAAGGAGAUGCUGAAGGAACGUGGAGUAGCACCAUUCUCAAAGUGGGAGAAGGAAUUACCAAAGAUAGUGUUUGAUCCACGCUUUAAGGCUAUUCCAAGUUACAGUGCUAGAAAAACUCUGUUUGAGCAUUAUGUCAAGACACGUGCAGAUGAAGAAAGAAAGGAGAAGCGUGCAGCACAGAAGGCUGCAGUUGAGGGCUUCAAGCAAUUACUGGAAGAAGCAAAGGA